UAGGGAAUCUUCGGCAAUGGGGGGAACCCUGACCGAGCAACGCCGCGUGAGUGAAGAAGGUUUUCGGAUCGUAAAGCUCUGUUGUUAAGGAAGAACGAGUGUGAGAAUGGAAAGUUCAUACUGUGACGGUACUUAACCAGAAAGGGACGGCUAACUACGUGCCAGCAGCCGCGGUAAUACGUAGGUCCCGAGCGUUGUCCGGAUUUAUUGGGCGUAAAGCGAGCGCAGGCGGUUAGAUAAGUCUGAAGUUAAAGGCAGUGGCUCAACCAUUGUAGGCUUUGGAAACUGUUUAACUUGAGUGCGGAAGGGGAGAGUGGAAUUCCAUGUGUAGCGGUGAAAUGCGUAGAUAUAUGGAGGAACAUCGGUGGCGAAAGCGGCUCUCUGGUCUGUAACUGACGCUGAGGCUCGAAAGCGUGGGGAGCGAACAGG
rnacentral:rRNA from 1 species